rnacentral:rRNA from 1 species
CUGGCCGACGAUGUUCUAGGGAGCUGAGGCUAGUCCCCACACUGCAGUGGAACCGAUCAAUCCUACGGAGGCAGCAGUGAGGAUAUGUCAUGACGAGUCUGACAGGCAUGCGCGUGAGGGAGAGUCUAUGGUGUAAACUCUUUGCUCCGAGCAUAGCGAUGCGUCGCGACGAGAGUACGGGGCGAAUAAGCAUCGGCUAACUCCGUGCCAGCAGCCGCGGUAAUACGGAGGAUGCAAGCGUAUCCGGGAUUUAUUGGGUUUAAAGGGUGCGCAGGCGGCGCGAUAAGUCAGCGGUGAAAUGUACCGGCUCAACCGGUGAGCUGCCGUUGAUACUGUCGUGCUUGAGUGCGAGCGGCGCCGGCGGAAUGUGUGAUGUAGCGGUGAAAUGCAUAGAUAUCACACAGAACACCGAUCGCGAAGGCAGCUGGCGAGGACGUUACUGACGCUGAGGCACGAAAGCGUGGGGAUCAAACAGGAUUAGAUACCCUGGUAGUCCACGCAGUAAACGAUGAUGACUUGUUGUCGGCGACAGACAGUCGGUGACAAAGCGAAAGCGAUAAGUCAUCCACCUGGGGAGUACGAUCGCAAGGUUGAAACUCAAAGGAAUUGACGGGGGCCCGCACAAGCGGAGGAGCAUGUGGUUUAAUUCGAUGAUACGCGAGGAACCUUACCUGGACUCAAAUGUUGUCUGACUGGGGCAGAGAUGCCCUUUCCCUUCGGGGCAGACAGCAAGGUGCUGCAUGGUUGUCGUCAGCUCGUGCCGUGAGGUGUCAGGUUAAGUCCUAUAACGAGCGCAACCCCUACGUCCAGUUGCCAGCGGGUAGAGCCGGGGACUCUGGAGGGACUGCCGGCGCAAGCCGAGAGGAAGGUGGGGAUGACGUCAAAUCAGCACGGCCCUUACGUCCAGGGCGACACACGUGCUACAAUGGCCGGUACAGAGGGCAGCCACACCGCGAGGUGGAGCGAAUCUCGAAAGCCGGUCUCAGUUCGGAUCGGAGUCUGCAACCCGACUCCGUGAAGUUGGAUUCGCUAGUAAUCGCGCAUCAGCCAUGGCGCGGUGAAUACGUUCCCGGGCCUUGUACACACCGCCCGUCAAGCCAUGAAAGUCUGGGGUACCUGAAGUCCGUGCCCGCGAGGAGCGGCCUAGGGUAAAACAGGUGAUUGGGGCUAAGUCGUAACAAGGUAAAUCACUGCCGUCGUACCCAA